GAUGUUUCUGUAGGAUGGUUCUGUAGGAAGAUGGCUUGAAAUGCAUAACACUCUAAAUUGUUGAUUGGACUGCGGUUUGUGUAGAGAGUCAUGGACAGUAUGAUGUACACAUUCUUAUGUGUCAUGUGAUUUAAUUGAAUUGCAGCCAUGAAUGCAUAUGACUCAAUUUUGUUGCUUCAAUUGGUUUUGUUUCAGUACUAUGCUUGAUUGUCCUGAUUGUAGAUAUUCUAUGAUGUUUACAUUUUCAAAUGUGUUGUCCUCAUUGUCCAAAAUCUUGGCAUUUUGUAC
rnacentral:lncRNA from 1 species